rfam:Erinaceus europaeus unplaced genomic scaffold scaffold00271, whole genome shotgun sequence
GGAUAUAAAGGAGAACUGGCUUCAAUAUCUAUCACCCCAUUGAUCACCAAGACUGAUUCAGCUGAUCUGGCUGGUAGGCAGGUGUCCCCAUACUCCCUCACUACUCCCAAAGCAUCACACUCAAUUGAAGAGGACAACCUUCUAUAAAUACAGAAAGACUGGUCUUCAGUGGAGGGUAUGUUAGUAGCUGCACUCCCCUGCUAGAACCUCCAAAAAAACUCGAUGGAGAAGAUGAGAACACAGAAUCCUGGUGGUGGGAACCAUAUAGAAUUAUAUUCCUAUUAGCUUAUGUUUU